ACGCUCGACACCUACGGGAGACAGCAGUGGGGGAUAUUGCGCAAUGGGGGAAACCCUGACGCAGCAACGCCGCGUGAAGGACGAAGGUUUUCGGAUUGUAAACUUCUUUUGUCAGGGACGAAGAAAUGACGGUACCUGACGAAUAAGCUCCGGCUAACUACGUGCCACAGCCGCGGUAAUCUGAGCGGGCUGGCAAGGC
rnacentral:rRNA from 1 species